rnacentral:rRNA from 1 species
AACGUGUUCUUUUUGUGCAAUUUUAUUCUUUGGUUUUUGUAGUGUUUGUAAGUGUCUAAGGGCGCAUGGUGGAUGCCUUGGCAUCGAGAGCCGAUGAAGGACGUGGGAGGCUGCGAUAAGC